AUUUUUUGCAGUUGGUUGACGGCGACGCAACAUCAUGGCGUUAACGGAUACCGAACCGAUGUCACAUUUACUGAGAUUGGCAAACAAAUUCAACUGCUUCUACCUGUCAGGGUUCCACUCGGGAACUUGCAGAGCAUUUGUCGUCGAUGGCCAACAAGUUGGUCUCGUUCGACCCGACGUAAUGAAAGAACUUCUCAGCUACCCACAGGUAUUUCAAGUGCAUCCAGAAUAUGUUCAACUUAAUCCAGCGUUUAGAGACUAUGCUGAACGUAGCACAAAAAUGGAGGAGGUUCUUAAGGAGUGGCGAGACCAUGGAAAAUUUGUUACACUCAAGGGCUGGCGUGAGGAGUGCUAUGAAGUGAGGUCCCAAUUCAAUACUCAACCACUCUUCAAAAUGGAUCGCUCUGCUACCUGCUUGUUCGGAAUUCGAAACUACGGGGUUGACAUUACUGGAUAUGUUAUGGAUCGUGAAAAGGGGCUCUCAAUUUGGCUCCAAAAGCGUAGUCCUACAAAACAAACCUGGCCUGGUUAUUGGGAUAACAUGGUAGGUGGUGGAUUAAGCGCUGGCUAUGGUAUCCACGAAACUGGAGUGAAAGAGGCUGGAGAAGAAGCCAGUAUCCCUAGCAAGCAUCUUGGAAAACUGAAGAGCGCAGGAUGUGUUUCGUUUUUCUUCGAGAGUGAAAGGGGUCUUUUUCCCAACACUGAAUUUGUUUACGACCUGGAAUUGCCCCCAGACUUUGUACCAUCUAAUGGUGAUGGGGAAGUUGAGACAUUCGAACUUCUACCAGUUAAAGAAUGCUUGGAGAGAGUACUUUCGCCAGAGUUCAAGACAACAUCUGUGCCAGUUGUCCUUGACUUUUUCAUCAGACAUGGCUACAUCACUGCUGAAAAUGAGCCUAACUUCAUCAAAAUCGUCGAACUACUACAUGUGCCACUGCAAACCAUAUACAAUCAACCACAAAGAAAGUAUAAGAUAGAAGCUAAUGGCGAAGCGAAUAUUGCUCUAUAAAGAGGCCUUAGGAUAACAAUAGGCACUAAUUUCAAUUGAACUAAGGCUGAAAAUUCAGAAGAUGUGAUGGCAAAGAUCAGGUAUCCAUGCUGAUGAUGAAUUGUACAUAAUAUAGCCACGAGAUUGUAAUUUAUUUUGGCUAUGUUUGCUUAAGUAAUCUAAGUUAGUUUGAAAUUAUCUACAACGAAAUAAACUGCUGCUUUAUGUGACUA
rnacentral:misc_RNA from 1 species